rnacentral:rRNA from 1 species
AGAGUUUGAUCCUGGCUCAGGACGAACGCUGGCGGCGUGCUUAAUACAUGCAAGUCGAACGGAGUUAAGGGUUUCGGCCUUUAACUUAGUGGCGAACGGGUGAGUAACGCGUGAAUAACCUGACUCAAAGAGGGGGAUAACAACGGGAAACUGUUGCUAAUACCGCAUGAGACCACAACACCGCAUGAUGAAGGGGUCAAAGAUUUAUCGCUUUGAGAGGGGUUCGCGUCCCAUUAGGUAGUUGGUGAGGUAACGGCCCACCAAGCCAACGAUGGGUAGCCGAGCUGAGAGGCUGAUCGGCCACACUGGAACUGAGACACGGUCCAGACUCCUACGGGAGGCAGCAGUAGGGAAUAUUGGGCAAUGGGCGCAAGCCUGACCCAGCAACGCCGCGUGAGGGAAGAAGGUUUUCGGAUUGUAAACCUCUGUCCUAUGUGACGAAGGAAGUGACGGUAGCAUAGGAGGAAGCCCCGGCUAACUACGUGCCAGCAGCCGCGGUAAUACGUAGGGGGCGAGCGUUAUCCGGAUUCAUUGGGCGUAAAGCGCGCGUAGGCGGCCCGGCAGGCCGGGGGUCGAAGCGGGGGGCUCAACCCCCCGAAGCCCCCGGAACCUCCGCGGCUUGGGUCCGGUAGGGGAGGGUGGAACACCCGGUGUAGCGGUGGAAUGCGCAGAUAUCGGGUGGAACACCGGUGGCGAAGGCGGCCCUCUGGGCCGAGACCGACGCUGAGGCGCGAAAGCUGGGGGAGCGAACAGGAUUAGAUACCCUGGUAGUCCCAGCCGUAAACGAUGGACGCUAGGUGUGGGGGGACGAUCCCCCCGUGCCGCAGCCAACGCAUUAAGCGUCCCGCCUGGGGAGUACGGCCGCAAGGCUAAAACUCAAAGGAAUUGACGGGGGCCCGCACAAGCAGCGGAGCAUGUGGCUUAAUUCGAAGCAACGCGAAGAACCUUACCAGGGCUUGACAUAUGGGUGAAGCGGGGGAGACCCCGUGGCCGAGAGGAGCCCAUACAGGUGGUGCAUGGCUGUCGUCAGCUCGUGUCGUGAGAUGUUGGGUUAAGUCCCGCAACGAGCGCAACCC